rnacentral:lncRNA from 1 species
CCUCAUUCUCUAACACAGGCAAUAUGUCCAUCCAACCUUUGGACUAAAAGCAACGAUAUUUGCUAUGCAGCUUUUCAUAGAUAAUGUGGUAUGAAGUAAUACUGCAUUCAUGAUAUCUUUCACCUGCCUCUAAAGCUUAUGCAAUAAACACUCUUAUUUGUAGGUGUGGAAGAAGGUGAACUAUCUCGAUCGACUUCUGCAGCUAUUCAGAUAUGUACCUCGCUAGCAAUUGAGCAUUACAGAUUUUGUGUUUCCAUCUGUUCACCGAGUUGUUUGUGAGGCGCUGCAAUGAUGUCUUGCAAACGAAUAUUAUGUGAUGCAUGCAUGAUCUUGAAGUAAAUGGAGAGAAAGGCGUGAUUGUUGAUCCAAGAACAAAACCAAUCUCAAACUGAUUUCGAUUUCACUGAUCACUUCAAUUUACUUUCUUCAGUAUGAGUCUAGAUACUGACUUCAGUAUUGUUUCUAAAGAAGUAAUAAUUUACCACUUGAUGCUUCACAUGUCACUUACAACAUCUGAAAUGCAUACUAUGAAUAACAUGUCCAAUGAAGCAGCUACAAGUUUGAUGACAUGAAAGAAAACAGUGUUUAUAAAUUUAAGAUACCUCAAACAACACAUUGAAAUAGUGACAAGAAAACAGAAUAGAUCCCUCAAACAACACAUUGAAAUAGUGACAAGAAAUAUAAAAAUAUUCUUGUGCAUUAUAGAGGUACAAAUGGUAAAUGAUAGUAGAUGUUAUUAUAAGUUUGACAUUGUAAUUCAAGGAUGGUUGGUGGAGUAACCUGUUCAAAGCUUAUUCCCCUUAUGUCGAAAUCUAAUGCAAAUUAUACAAACUCAAGACUAAAGUCUUCAAGUUCAAGCAAUAAAGCUAUAAAUGUAUGGCACCUCCAAAUCGUCAUGCAACUGAAGAUGUUAUGGGAAGAGUAUAAUAGCAUUUAAUUAGAAUUCUAUUGUAUGGAUCAAAACAACAAAUUAAAUGCACCUAAAACAAACAUAUAUAAGUUUGCAAUCAUAACAAUAUAUUCAGAAUGUCCGGCCAGUAAGACCUAAACUAUAAGUUCGAUAAUAAUCUUUUAACAACUUAACAAAAUAGAACCCUCUUUCAUUUAAAGCUAAAGGAACUAUCAUCCAGUUUUCUUUUACCCAUGGUAUGCUGCAAACUGGUCUACAAAAUUGAGAAGUCGAAAGGUUAAUUUGUAUAUCUAGGAGAAUCCAUGUAAAUAGGACUAAACUCAUAACUCAUUCUCUAUUUCACCAUCUCUAAUAAGUAAUUAGUAGAUGUAGAUGUUUUACACAUUCAUACAUCAAAAGGGCUUUCUGAUCACCACAUGCCAGUUUCCUCAAAGACUUGAUAGAAAAGAUAAUUAACAUUGAAUGCAUCUGAACAUGUCAUAAGCUUGCCUAAAGCCACAAACAGAAAUGAAAGGUGCUGCUAUCAAAUAUCAAUUAGUCAAAACACUCAAAACAACAAAGAAGAAAGUUAACCAUUACUAGAAAAAAUAGANUAAGGAAUUCUCUAGAUACUAUAUAGAAAAUAUCUAUUCUCUAGAAUACCAUACUUGUCCUAGUAUUAUUUAGAAUACUCUAGAUUGAUCUAGCUAGUGGUGAAUUCUCUAGAAUAUACAUAGCUUAUUCUCACUUAGAAUAUUCUAGAUAAAUGCAUCACACUUCAAUAAUAUAUAUGGGCAAAGUAAGAAAACUGUUGUGUAGAAUUGCUUCAUGAAAAUUAGAUCGUUCCACCAACUACACAAAUGAGGUCGCGCUGCAUAAAGCAAAAGAUGAUGAGGAGCACUCACAUCUGUAAUGAUGCAGCUGAGUGGAAAUAAACAAUAGUGUAAGGCUUCUGUAUCACGAUUCACGAACCGAAAGAAAGGUAGAAAAUAAAAAUUCUAAACUAUGGAGCGAGCUAUGAGACGUUACAUAACAUCAGUGGUGGAUUCACUAAAGUCACAAAGUAUAUAAGAAAUGUUCACCUUUACUACGUACAAGACAAAUCGUUCUAGAUCAAGACACCUUAACAGAAAUGUGCUCCGACAACCACCAUAACUCGGUAACUGAAUGGAUACAAGAUAUAUAAUUAUCAAGCUUGCUUUCUUACUUUGCCAAUAUAUGUAAACUGAGCUAUAAAGAAACUAACAACUGCUAUAAAGUAAGUUUUCUUACUUUACGUAUAAAUUUGAGUGAACAGGCAACCGGACCUAGGAUGGAUUAAGAGAUUAGAGCAAAUACUUGGUCGGAAGCACCAACAUAAUCUUCAUGUAUGAGCAAUCUUCCUCUUAACAUUCUGCCGUAGUUGGACAAGCUGUUAGCUACUGAUCCUCUGCUACUAUAACACAGGCAAUAUGUCCUUCAUCCAACCUUUGGACUAAAAGCAGCGAUAUUUGCUAUGCAGCUUUUCAUAGAUAAUGUGGUAUGAAGUAAUACUGCAUUCCUGAUAUCUUUCACCUGCCUCUAAAGCUUAUGCAAUAAACACUCUUAUUUGUAGGUGUGGAAGAAGGUGAACUAUCUCGAUCGACUUCUGCAGCUAUUCAGAUAUGUAC